rnacentral:rRNA from 1 species
GACAUACCUCUGGUGUACCAGUUGUCGUGCCAACGGCAUAGCUGGGUAGCUAUGUAUGGACGGGAUAAGUGCUGAAAGCAUCUAAGCAUGAAGCCCCCCUCGAGAUGAGAUUUCCCAACUUCGGUUAUAAGAUCCCUCAAAGAUGAUGAGGUGAAUAGGUUCGAGGUGGAAGCGUAGCGAUACGUGGAGCUGACGAAUACUAAUCGAUCGAAGACUUAAUCAAU